GAUGAACGCUGGCGGCGUGCCUAAUACAUGCAAGUCGAGCGAAUGGAUUAAGAGCUUGCUCUUAUGAAGUUAGCGGCGGACGGGUGAGUAACACGUGGGUAACCUGCCCAUAAGACUGGGAUAACUCCGGGAAACCGGGGCUAAUACCGGAUAACAUUUUGAACCGCAUGGUUCGAAAUUGAAAGGCGGAUUCGGCUGUCACUGAUGGAUGGACCCGGGUCGCAUUAGCUAGUUGGUGAGGUAACGGCUCACCAAGGCAACGAUGCGUAGCCGACCUGAGAGGGUGAUCGGCCACACUGGGACUGAGACACGGCCCAGACUCCUACGGGAGGCAGCAGUAGGGAAUCUUCCGAAAUGGACGAAAGUCUGACGGAGCAACGCCGCGUGAGUGAUGAAGGCUUUCGGGUCGUAAAACUCUGUUGUUAGGGAAGAACAAGUGCUAGUUGAAUAAGCUGGCACCUUGACGGUACCUAACCAGAAAGCCACGGCUAACUACGUGCCAGCCGCCGCGGUAA
rnacentral:rRNA from 1 species